GACGAACGCUGGCGGCGUGCUUAACACAUGCAAGUCGAACGGUAAGGCCCCUUCGGGGGUACACGAGUGGCGAACGGGUGAGUAACACGUGAGCAACCUGCCCUUGACUCUGGAAUAACAGUUGGAAACAGCUGCUAAUACUGGAUAUUCAUCGUCUCCUUCCUGGGGGGUGGUGGAAGGCUCCGGCGGUCAGGGAUGGGCUCGCGGCCUAUCAGCUUGUUGGUGAGGUAAUGGCUCACCAAGGCUUCGACGGGUAGCCGGCCUGAGAGGGCGACCGGCCACACUGGGACUGAGAUACGGCCCAGACUCCUACGGGAGGCAGCAGUGGGGAAUAUUGCACAAUGGGCGCAAGCCUGAUGCAGCAACGCCGCGUGCGGGAUGACGGCCUUCGGGUUGUAAACCGCUUUCAGUAGGGACGAAGGGUGACUGACGGUACCUACAGAAGAAGGACCGGCUAACUACGUG
rnacentral:rRNA from 1 species